rnacentral:rRNA from 1 species
UCGGGAAUUUUGCUCAAUGGGCGAAAGCCUGAAGCAGCAACGCCGCGUGAGGGAUGAAGGCCUUCGGGUUGUAAACCUCUUUUUCCAGGGACGAUGAUGACGGUACCUGGAGAAUAAGCCACGGCUAACUACGUGCCAGCAGCCGCGGUAAUACGUAGGUGGCAAGCGUUGUCCGGAUUUACUGGGCGUAAAGAGCGCGCAGGCGGCCAAGUAAGUCGAAUGUGAAAGCCCCCGGCUUAACUGGGGAGGGUCAUUCGAUACUGCCUGGCUCGAAGACAGGAGAGGGAAGCGGAAUUCCCGGUGUAGUGGUGAAAUGCGUAGAUAUCGGGAGGAACACCAGUGGCGAAGGCGGCUUUCUGGCCUGUUCUUGACGCUGAGGCGCGAAAGCUAGGGGAGCAAACGG